GCUAUGGAGACAUAGCUUUCCCUUCGGGGACAGCGGUGACAGGUGGUGCAUGGUUGUCGUCAGCUCGUGUCGUGAGAUGUUGGGUUAAGUCCCGCAACGAGCGCAACCCUUGUCCUUAGUUGCCAUCAUUCAGUUGGGCACUCUAAGGAGACUGCCGGCUAAAAGUCGGAGGAAGGUGGGGAUGACGUCAAAUCAUCAUGCCCCUUAUGACCUGGGCUACACACGUGCUACAAUGGACGGUACAAACGGUUGCGAAGUCGCGAGAUGGANCCAAUCCGAGAAAACCGUUCUCAGUUCGGAUUGCAAGGCUGCAACUCGCCUGCAUGAAGCCGGAAUCGCUAGUAAUCGCGGAUCAGCAUGCCGCGGUGAAUACGUUCCCGGGCCUUGUACACACCGCCCGUCACACCACGAGAGUUUGUAACACCCGAAGUCGGUGAGGUAACCUUUUGGAGCCAGCCGCCGAAGGUGGGACAGAUGAUUGGGGUGAAGUCGUAACAAGGUAGCCGUAUCGGAAGGUGCGGCUGGAUCAC
rnacentral:rRNA from 1 species